UCUAAAAAAUCUAAACAUACGCGUUAGAUUUCAAUGUGCUUUCCGGUGUACUUAAUCAGAGUGUUAAACAUUUCCCCUUAUGGCUGAAACAUUUCGUUCUCAGUUUAGCAUGGCUACUCUGACCAUGAGAGGUAAAUGCUUACUGCAGUUUUGUAUGUCACUAUGUCUAUUCAGAAAAUGCACUUCUUUAGCUUCUUGUGUUGAGAAUGUAUUGAACAAAUCGCUGCAUAAUACUGGUAAUUUAUGCAGCCUACGGAAUUUCUCUUCUUACUAGCGAUUCACUUGAUGACUUUUAUACAGAAUUAUAAGAAGGGUUUAGUGUUCGUCCGGUCCACAGAAGAUGUAGAAAAGUAGGCAGCCCAUGGCGGCAUCAAAACCGGCUUGGUGGACGACUGGGAGCUACCACCGCUGACUGUUGCAGCACCAUGGCUUAGAGCCGUGCCACCUAGGAUUCACUAUGGUAUUCAAAUCUGGAGCGGAAAUCCACUGCGACGGUGAGGAUUCUUCGUUUCCAAGGAGGGGGAGAGGUGCUAUUCCCUGACAAGUGCUAGGUAAAUUUUUUCCCUCCUUCCAUUUGUUGAUCUGUAGAUCCACUCCAUCUUUCUUUUUGAAGGAAUGAGUAGGGAAGGAUUCCGUUGCAACCCAAUUGUUUGUUUCAGAGAAUGAUUGGUCUUUGUUACACUAGGAUUCCAUUGGAUAAUCUCAUGGCGUGGCUGAAGAAGAUGGCGAUCUUUGGCAUAGGUUGAUGGAACUGAGAGCCUAACCGCUAAGCUGACGAGACCUCUUCACUAAGCUCCAGACUGCAAAUUAGGAAUCAAAAGGAGGUACUUUACAGGUUACAAAAACUGAAGGUAGGCUGCAAAGUGGAUAUUAUGCUCUCCAUGGCUUUAGUUUUAUCAAGAAUGACAUCCAAUUUAUGUGCCGAGAUGCACUGAGAUAUAAAGGCUGGAGUGAUUUGGGAGAUACGAAUUGUUGUGUCCUUCAUCAAGUGAAAGGUAUUUCGCCUGUAGCUCAUGGUUUAAAUAGCAAUGUAUAUUUAGGAUUUUAUGUGGGGAUUGAUAUUGUGAUGCAAUUCAUGUGAUGAUCUCCUGCACUUUACUUCCAAAGCAAGGUGAAUUAAGACCAUGCUCCGAGAUUCGGUCACAGUAAUUAAAUCAGAAGCUUUGCGUGUUAACCCACUAUCAGUAACAUCAGAACAAGUUAUGUCAAUGGAUAAUAGUGAUUGCCUUUGCAAAGCAACAACUUCUAGCCAAGCAACCCCAUUAUAAUCCCCAAACAACUGUCCCGAUAGCAAAAUACAAUAGGCAAUGAGCUCUGUCUAAUAAUAUUGUAUACAAAAUAUUUUAUACGGUUUGAUAAGUUGUCUUCUAAUUUAUCAGUAUAUAGUUCAGUGUGAGAUGACCUCAAUAGAAGCUGGUGAAAAUUAUAUGUGCUUAACUAAUCAUUGCAUUCCAGUAGGGAAGAGCGAAUAUAAUUUAUCAGUAACUGUAAUUUUACAUAAAAGUAUUCAAUUUGAUGAAAACCGAGUACUACAUCCAUUUAGUAUAUGAAGGAGGGUACAUAUAUCUAAUUGAUAGUUGUAUUGUCGCGGCUGGUACACUUUGUGGUGAAGUCCUUUCAGUUCAAAUUGACCCUAAACUCUGAA